AGAAGCAAUAAUGUUAAUAUGAGUAACAAGAAAUAUUUCUCCUGGCACAUGUGUAUAUCAGACCGAAUAAAUCACUGAUAGUUAUCAAAAUAAAUAGAAUCAAACAACAAAAACCUCAACACCAAUUGUUAACCCAACACAGGAGUGCAACUAGGAAAGAUUAAAAGAAGUAAAAGGAACUCGGC
rnacentral:rRNA from 1 species